rnacentral:lncRNA from 1 species
AAAUAUGAAUUUCAACUCCAUUAGUCUCAAAAAAUAAAAAAUUGUCAGAGAAUAAAUAACAAAAUACCAAAUAACAUAUAUGUUUACUUUCUAACUUCAAUUUUUUAUAGAUAAAGGAACAUAAAAUAUUAUGGAAGAAACAUUAUAUGGAUAAAGGGCAUCAUUCCUUUGUAUUUCACUGUUGUGAUGCGCCAGUUUAUCAAGUCUCUCAUGUUCCUCGAUGCGUCGUUGUUUCCGAUCAUCAAGGAUCCUCGUCAACACCUCGUCUUCUUCACUGCCACUGAGUGUUGUGGAGACGUUGCGGCGGGGGGAUGACAGGGCGGGAGAAUGACAGUUUGGUGAUAUCGGGUUGAGGAGUUCGAGAGGGUUGAUGGCUGUUGUUGUUGCUGUUUGUUGAAGGGAGGUUUGAUGGGGAGUAGAUGGCUUGUUUUGGGGUCGAUGCUGUCGAUGAUGAUUUAUGGGAGACGAUGGUGAUUGUGCGAGUCGAUGGUUAUGUGCGUUUGGUUUGAUGAUGUAGAUAAUACAGGGCUGGAGAUUGGUGUCGGCGCAAGCUCCCAACUCGGGAAGAGGAAACC